AUAGCUCACUGGUCGCGUGAUCCUGCGCCGAAGAUUUCCGGGGCUAAAACUUACUACCGAAGCUACGGCAUCAGUAAUGAUGGGUAGGGGAGCUUCCCAUACGGGUUGAAGCAUGACCGUAAGGACAGGUGGACAGUAUGGGAGUGAGAAUGUUGGCAUGAGUAGCGAGAUGUGGGUGAGAAUCCCACAGGCCGUAAACCCAAGGUUUCCAGGGGGAGCGUCAUCUGAAAUGGGAUAGUCGGGACCUAAGCUGAGGCCGAAGGGCGUAGGUGAUGGACAACAGGUUGAUAUUCCUGUACUACCGAUAACC
rnacentral:rRNA from 1 species